rnacentral:tRNA from 2 species
AGAGGAUUGGCUGAGCGGCGAAAGCAACAGUCUUGAAAACUGUAGGAACUGUAGGAUGUUAACAGCGUCCCAAGGGUACGUCCCUUAUCCUCUGCCA